rnacentral:lncRNA from 1 species
CUGUAGUACACAGACAUGGGUGUGAAUUCAGUUUUACAACUGAAAUCAGUAAGAACGCAAUGUUUGUGAUAAAAAUCGAGAUUGCCUUUGAAUUAUGUAACUAGUUCAAGUUGACACAUAUGAAAAUAAUGAGCCCUGGUAGUGAUUUUCUAAUUAAAUGGUAGAUAUAUUAAUUAACUUUUCCGGGGACUGUGAAGAAUUGUACAUUUGACUUAUGGCUGUUUACAUGUCCUUCUUAUCCUCAAAAGACUGGCUGAAAAUCUAAUUUGCACAUAAAAUUACUUUUACUAAUACCAGGCUACAAACUAUUCUAAUGCAUAUUGCAGUCCAAACCCCAAAAUGAAAGUCAAAAGAAGUUAAAUGCAACCAAUAAACAGACUAAUUUAUACCUCUAAUUUAAAAAAUUCAAGUUCUUAAGUAUCCAUAUUAUGAAGGUAAUUAUAGCUUUUCUGGAACCACACAACAGCAGCGAACUUUAAUUACCAGCUACUAAAAAUCAUACUUACAUGUGAAGAUAUAACUUAUGGUAAACAUAUUAACAUUGGUGGUUUCUGAAAUAAAUAUGCAGACAUUCACUUGCUAAUUGUAAAUUCCAAGUCAGUUUCUAUUAUAAGCAUGUAACAAAUCACACUCCCUCCAUCUGAUUCCCUCUCUCUGCCACCCAUCACUUCUUUCCUCUGCCCACUACCUGUCUGCUCCCUCCUGUCACCCACUUCCUGAGGCCUCCGCUCCUGUUGUCACACCUUCUUUUCCCCCACGCCCACCAUCUGGAAGUCAGCAUUACACUGCAGGAGCUUCUCCAUCCACAUCUGUUGCGGAGACAGAAGGAACACAGACAGCUGCAACACUGCUGGAUGUCCAGGGCGUCGACAUCAGAUCUAAUACCACUGGCACGAGAGAAUGAAAUGACUAUUGACUACAAACCAAUAUUUCUAAUCAGAAGCUUCUUUACUGAACAAAAACUCAGGAGUCAACAGUAUUAAGCACAGAACAGCGGAAGCGACUGCAGAAGAUCUAGGAGCGGGCUGACAUGAAGAGCCAAAGAACCAAUUCCAAGAAGUCAGUCAGUUUGGGAACCAGUAACAGUAAAUGAUCCUGACAGCGUAAGGGGCCUAAUCUCAGGGUAAGAGGAUACAAAUGAAAAGUAUAACGUACAAGGCAAGAAGUUGUAAAUCACUUAAAACCAUUGCUGAAGGCUUCUACCUCUUAGGGCUCGCCACCAUGAAGAGGUAAUGAUGAGGAGACAAGUAAAAGUAAGGGCUUUUAUUUGUCUUGAUUUUUAAUAUAUAUGCCAGGUCCCAGUGAAGAAAUUAUGAAGGAUCAGUAACACUUGGAUUUAUAGAAGCAAUUUAAUCUUUCUAAAGAUAGCUCUCUUACCAUGGCUCUCACAUACUAGAAGGUCAAGGAGAACUAAACAAAUGUUUAUACAGUCUUUCCAUUAUAA